AGCGAACGCUGGCGGCAGGCCUAACACAUGCAAGUCGAACGAACCUUUCGGGGUUAGUGGCGGACGGGUGAGUAACACGUGGGAACGUGCCUUUAGGUUCGGAAUAACUCAGUGAAACUUGUGCUAAUACCGAAUGUGCCCUUCGGGGGAAAGAUUUAUCGCCUUUAGAGCGGCCCGCGUCUGAUUAGCUAGUUGGUUGAGGUAAUGGCUCACCAAGGCGACGAUCAGUAGCUGGUCUGAGAGGAUGAUCAGCCACAUUGGGACUGAGACACGGCCCAAACUCCUACGGGAGGCAGCAGUGGGGAAUCUUGCGCAAUGGGCGAAAGCAUGACGCAGCCAUGCCGCGUGAAUGAUGAAGGUCUUAGGAUUGUAAAAUUCUUUCACCGGGGACGAUAAUGACGGUACCCGGAGAAGAAGCCCCGGCUAACUUCGUG
rnacentral:rRNA from 1 species